rnacentral:rRNA from 1 species
UUAGUCUUGUAAUUCAAGACUGGCAUGAAAGAGAAAACUAAAGGAAUAAUAUUUUUAUUAUAAUUUUUCAAUUUUACUUUUUAGUAAAAAGGCUAAAAUUACUCUUAAAGACAAGAAGACCCUGUAAAACUUUACAUAUAAACAUUUAAUAAAUCAUUAACAUGUUCAGCUGGGGCGGCAGAGAAUACUAACAUUCUUAAAAUUUUAUAAUUAUUAUUAUACCCAGAAAUUCUGAAAAUUAAACAAGCUACUUCAGGGAUAACAGCGUUAUAUAUUUAUAAAGACCUUAUUGACAAAUAUGUUUGCGACCUCGAUGUUGGAUUGAAUCAUCU